GAUAAAGUCAGCUAAACAAGCUAUCGGGCCCAUACCCCGAAAAUGUCACCACGACCUUUAUCA
rnacentral:tRNA from 1 species